CGCGCCGCGGACCCCGUCGUUAACCUAGCGAACCACUUCCAAGUCUUGAGUGAUAAAAGGCGUCUCCGCAGGACCUAUAUUUCUAAUAAACUGUCAAAUGUGUAAUUUGGAAAACAUCUUAAGUGAAUGUGGAUGUCAGCUUUCACCUGGCUCAUCCUUAAUAAAGGAGGGAAUUGUUGCUUUGGAAGAAAAAAAACAAGACGCGGAACUAAGGGGCUUAAUAAACUUUCGACAGAAAGGCAGGAAUUCGGUACAAAGGCAGAUUUGAUUUAACGGAUUUAAUGGGUCGACAAAACGGUCUGGAAAGCCUGAAUAACCGGGCAUCGCGAAGUUUCUAGAAAUAGGGUGGACUCGCAAAACGUCCAUGUUUCUACCUGUUAAAACCUUUUCAGGGAGAUUCUGUCUAACAGGACUUCGAAAAUCCCGUAAUCUAUUAUUAUUAUUAUUAUUAUCAAGACCGAAACGUAAAGGAACUGACCACUCAACGACAGUAUGAGACCUUCGUUAAUGUUUCGUCAUCUGCCUUUAAGGAGAUGCAGGACUAAAGCUUUCAGAAGUCAGAUGAGAUUAAUGUAUGGAGAUGAACAGUCUAGGACCACUCAGUAUAUUAGCAUGCAUAAAUUACGAUCAUUUACAACCAACUGUUGCAGAUGGAUCUCCCUAGACGUUGAAUGGAAUUUGUAUUUGCAACCAUCCCUGUAUGAAUAGGUGAACUCCCAAACUGUCCUCAUUGAUGGGUGUUAAUCAAAAGGUGGAAAAUGUGACUUCAGCAGAAGAAAAACUGUCUGAUAAAGUGUCAUUCCUCUUCUGUUCAUAAUAAACUGGCUUUUUAGUCCAAACUAA